GCUGGUAUAGCUCAGUUGGUAGAGCGCACCCUUGGUAAGGGUGAGGUCCCCAGUUCGAAUCUGGGUACUAGCA
rnacentral:tRNA from 1 species